rnacentral:lncRNA from 1 species
CCUAAAGCAAUUUUUGUUUGAGCCAUGAAAUUAGAACAGGGCUUAGAAUAAGUACUGUGCCUGCUGCCAAAUGAAUCAAAAAACCAAUGUUAUAAGAAUAGUUAUAUGCUGGUCAGAUAUGUUGAUCAAGAAAAAGAGAAGCUUUUAUUCAAAAGUUAUAUCAAAAAUAUACUUAAACAAAUAUUAGAAUAACUUACAGCACAACUACUUUUACCUG